ACCAGUCUGUAUAGAGUUAAAAUGGAAUAAAAAUGCAUACCUCAUAUAUACAGUUUAGUACAAUUACACACUGAUUUCUAGUCAAUAUGGCACACAAUAUGGAAGCUAUUGAAGAAAACAUUUAAUAUUAAAAUUAUUUAAAAUAUUGAAUAUGAGUUGACAUUUUAAUAGAGGGUAGUGUGUGUCAUGUAAAAGCAUGAACUACCACUUUUUUGUAUCAGUUGGUCACAAGGCAUUUAUUAACAUUUGUUUGACAGGAGUGUUCUUUUCGGAAAUUUGUUGACAGGCCCUAAGUGAACCUCCGAGUGCUGAGGAGGGAGCUGGAGAGCGGCUGGCAGAAAUUAGCGUUCAUAAAUCGGAUCAACCUUGAGCUAAACGCCGCUUGCUCGGCGGACAUUGGAAUAUGCAAUAUCCAACUCGAAACUAAAUUCACUGCAGUCAGUAACACAACAAAACCACCAGGAUAUAGUUUGUUUUGGACUGUGGCCUGUAAAGAUGGCACCGAGCGACUGCACGAAACGUAAACACCCCUCAACGUCUGACGCAGUGACGUUGGUUCAAAGCUCUAUUGCCCAAUAAUAGAGGAGCUGACAUAGAAAGCAGCUCCCUUCAUUAACAUAAAGAUGCACACGGAGAAGCAGAAAAAGGAGAGGAGGCAAUGACAAAAGAACGAGGGCUUGUAUAAGAAAAAGACAAAACAAUUUAUCUACUUUUCUUGACAAAAACGCAUGUUUAGGGGAAAUGAAAAAGAAAAUGUAUACAUUUCUUGAUGGAAACUCAUGUCUAAGGACAAGGAAAAACUAUAUUUAUGCUUUUAUUUCUUAUUACGUAAGUUUUGGUCCUCCAUAAUAGUAUGUUAGCCUAAUGGCAAUUUAUUUGUUAUUGCAGACUGCUGGCAACACUUUUUGGCCAUUUUUUUCCAGUAACGAGUAAUCUAACGUGUUACUAUUUCAAAUCCAGUAGUCAGACUACAGUUACUUAACGAAAACACUUUGCGUUACUGUGCGUUACUAUUUUCCUUUGUAAUUUAAUUUAAUUUCCUCUUGGGGAGCAACCGCCGUUUCUAUGCGACAUUAUCAGCAGCGACAGAAAUGUAGACAAUGUAGGGGAGGAGGGAGGUGCGCACUUUGUUGCUGGAAAAACAGAAACUAUUUUGAGUUUCUGUCACCAAGUCCAAUUAUUGUAAGCGGCUUUGGGCUUGUUUUUUUCUAAAGUUGCUUGCAAAUUUAAUGCUUUUAAACGUGUAGUUGCUUAUUUGGGCUUGGAAAUAAGCAAACAUAAACCCCAGAAUUUGUCUGUCAUCCAGGUAGUUUUAGUCAGACUCUCCCUCUUUCUUGGAUGAUCCGUCCCGCUGUGUCUUUAUCAAGUUAAUAUAUUUGCUGUGAAUGACGUUGAGCUAAUAUGAACAACAUGAAAACAUCCACGAAUGAACCUGUUCGCAAAGUUGUGCAACUAAACGCCAUUAUAAUUAUUAUAUUAAGAUAAGUGUCAGAAAUCUGUACAGCCAUCUGAGUUGCAGCAGGAGGAGCUCUGUGCGCUAUGACACCAAACGCAGGGCCGUAACCCAGAACCUGGAGGCUGGGGCCGGGAGGGGGGAACUCUAAAAUCCUUCUUAGAGUUUUCCAGACAGUGGAGCACACAAAAGCACACACAAAUUACUAAAAAAAAUUUUUGUACUGUUGUAACCAUUAACCAAUCUCGCCUUCAGUUCAACCAUAUAAAUGGAGACACAUUGUUGACGUUACCAUUAUAAAAUACCUGCAAUUAAGUUUUGGCAUAGAUCAAUGUAAUUUUCACAGGUGGUGGAGUGUUGUUGUUAGCAGCUGCUGAAAGUAACUAAAAAUGUUACUUUUAAUGUAACUUAGUUAC